CGGACGGGUGAGUAACGCGUGGGUAACCUGCCUUAUACAGGGGGAUAACAGUUAGAAAUGACUGCUAAUACCGCAUAAGCGCACAGGAUUGCAUGAUCUGGUGUGAAAAACUCCGGUGGUAUAAGAUGGACCCGCGUCUGAUUAGCUGGUUGGUGAGGUAACGGCCCACCAAGGCGACGAUCAGUAGCCGACCUGAGAGGGUGACCGGCCACAUUGGGACUGAGACACGGCCCAAACUCCUACGGGAGGCCAGCAUG
rnacentral:rRNA from 1 species